CCCUAAUCUCAUUUAAGGUCUGACAGCUGAGAGGGAAACAUUUCUACUUGGUGAUUGCUUCCUUCUGGGAGUCUUCCAGUGGGCCCUUAUCUUUGGAGUUGGUUAUGAGUUUAUUUCAGUCACACCUGGCACAGAAGGUUUCAGAAGGGUGAGAUCACUUCAGAGGUGAUUACAGUUCUACAGCUCUAGCAUAAUGAGAGAAUGGAAACAAUGAGCCUUGGAUACCUACAAUAAGGAACUCGUAAGAGGUGUGUGUGGAACAGCAGACCAUGAAAAGGAGCCCAGGAGGGCUUGGGCAGCUGUCACCUGUGGUGACCCGUGCUGGAGCAGCCUGCUUCUGAAGGAUGGACGCUAUGGUAUGGACCAUGUUGGAGCAGUUCUUGAAGAACUGCAGACUGUGGGAAGCUCAUGUAGGAUUGGAUUGGGAAGUGUGGCAUCCCAUGGAAGGGACUCUGUGCUGGGGCAGUGACAAUAAAUGAAUGGCAGCUGGUGGAGUGUUAUGGACUGACCAAACAACCAUUCCAUAUUCUCCUGCACUGUUCAGGGGGAGGAGGUAGAAGCCAGUGGAUGAGAGGAUGGUGAUUUCAGUUUUUGUUUUAGUUCUCACUGCUCUAGUCUAUUACCAGAGGCAAUAAAUUACACUGAUCUCCUUAUGCUGAGUCUGUUUUGCCUGUGACUG